rnacentral:rRNA from 1 species
GAUGAACGCUGGCGGCGUGCCUAAUACAUGCAAGUCGAGCGAACGGACGAGAAGCUUGCUUCUCUGAUGUUAGCGGCGGACGGGUGAGUAACACGUGGAUAACCUACCUAUAAGACUGGGAUAGCUUCGGGAAACCGGAGCUAAUACCGGAUAAUAUUUUGAACCGCAUGGUUCAAAAGUGAAAGACGGUCUUGCUGUCACUUAUAGAUGGAUCCGCGCUGCAUUAGCUAGUUGGUAAGGUAACGGCUUACCAAGGCAACGAUGCAUAGCCGACCUGAGAGGGUGAUCGGCCACACUGGAACUGAGACACGGUCCAGACUCCUACGGGAGGCAGCAGUAGGGAAUCUUCCGCAAUGGGCGAAAGCCUGACGGAGCAACGCCGCGUGAGUGAUGAAGGUCUUCGGAUCGUAAAACUCUGUUAUUAGGGAAGAACGUAUGUGUAAGUAACUGUGCACAUCUUGACGGUACCUAAUCAGAAAGCCACGGCUAACUACGUG